rnacentral:piRNA from 1 species
UCGGAAGUAUACAAGACUGUCAACUUAGUC